rnacentral:rRNA from 1 species
UACGGAGGGUGCGAGCGUUGUCCGGAAUCACUGGGCGUAAAGGGCGCGUAGGUGGCCUGUGGAAGUCUGCGGUGAAAGCCCGGCGCUCAACGCCGGGUCGGCCGUGGAUACUCUCGGGCUCGAGCUUACUAGAGGCAGAUGGGAUUCCGGGUGUAGCGGUGGAAUGCGUAGAGAUCCGGAAGAACACCGGUGGCGAAGGCGGUCUGCUGGGGUAAUGCUGACACUGAUGCGCGACAGCGUGGGGAGCAAACAGG